rnacentral:rRNA from 1 species
UAGGGAAUCUUCCGCAAUGGGCGAAAGCCUGACGGAGCAACGCCGCGUGAGUGAUGAAGGUCUUCGGAUCGUAAAACUCUGUUAUUAGGGAAGAACAAAUGUGUAAGUAACUAUGCACGUCUUGACGGUACCUAAUCAGAAAGCCACGGCUAACUACGUGCCAGCAGCCGCGGUAAUACGUAGGUGGCAAGCGUUAUCCGGAAUUAUUGGGUGUAAAGCGCGCGUAGGCGGUUUUUUAAGUCUGAUGUGAAAGCCCACGGCUCAACCGUGGAGGGGCAUUGGAAACUGGAAAACUUGAGUGCAGAAGAGGAAAGUGGAAUUCCAUGUGUAGCGGUGAAAUGCGCAGAGAUAUGGAGAAACACCAGUGGCGAAGGCGACUUUCUGGUCUGUAACUGACGCUGAUGUGCGAAAGCGUGUGGAUCAAACAGG